AGUGAACGCUGGCGGUAGGCCUAACACAUGCAAGUCGAACGGCAGCACAGUAAGAGCUUGCUCUUACGGGUGGCGAGUGGCGGACGGGUGAGGAAUACAUCGGAAUCUACUUUUUCGUGGGGGAUAACGUAGGGAAACUUACGCUAAUACCGCAUACGACCUACGGGUGAAAGCAGGGGAUCUUCGGACCUUGCGCGAUUGAAUGAGCCGAUGUCGGAUUAGCUAGUUGGCGGGGUAAAGGCCCACCAAGGCGACGAUCCGUGGCUGGUCUGAGAGGAUGAUCAGCCACACUGGAACUGAGACACGGUCCAGACUCCUACGGGAGGCAGCAGUGGGGAAUAUUGGACGAUGGGCGCAAGCCUGAUCCAGCCAUACCGCGUGGGUGAAGAAGGCCUUCGGGUUGUAAAGCCCUUUUGUUGGGAAAGAAAAGCAGCAGGUUAAUACCCCGCUGUUCUGACGGUACCCAAAGAAUAAGCACCGGCUAACUUCGUG
rnacentral:rRNA from 1 species